rnacentral:rRNA from 1 species
UACGUAGGGGGCAAGCGUUGUCCGGAAUUAUUGGGCGUAAAGCGCGUGUAGGCGGCUUGGUAAGUCUGGUGUGAAAUCUUGGGGCUUAACCCCAAGCCUGCACUGGAUACUGCCUGGCUAGAGUCCGGGAGGGGAGAGCGGAAUUCCCAGUGUAGCGGUGAAAUGCGCAGAUAUUGGGAAGAACACCGGUGGCGAAGGCGGCUCUCUGGAACGGUACUGACGCUGAGACG